rnacentral:rRNA from 1 species
UAAAAGUCGUAACAAGGUUUCCGUAGGUGAACCUGCGGAAGGAUCAUUAACGAGUAACACUGAGUUGUCGCUGGCCUUUCGGGGCAUGUGCACACUCUUUCACUCAUCCACACACCUGUGAACCAAUGCGGGACAAUGGGGGGAAGCGAAAGGGGGCUGCAAGGUCCUCGAUUAGUUCCCCCCCCAGAGUUCUGUUAAUUUUAUUACAAACACUAUAAGUUUAGAAUGUACACUUUGCUAUAAACGCAUUAAAUACAACUUUCAACAACGGAUCUCUUGGCUCUCGCAUCGAUGAAGAACGCAGCGAAAUGCGAUAAGUAAUGUGAAUUGCAGAAUUCAGUGAAUCAUCGAAUCUUUGAACGCACCUUGCGCUCCUUGGUAUUCCGAGGAGCAUGCCUGUUUGAGUGUCUUGAAUAUCUCAACCCUCUAGAUUGCAAGAUCAAAAAGGGAUUGGACUUGGAGGCUUGCUGGCUUUGUUCGGCUCCUCUCAAAUGCAUUAGCUAUGGAUCGCGCAGCAUUGGAUCUACGGUGUGAUACAUGUCUACUCCAAGGAUUUAAUGCGAUGAUCACCGCUUCGGCAGUGUGUGUCUUUAAUUUGAUACACCGUGUGAUGAGCGAAUACAAAGCUUCUAAUCGUCUUUGGACAAUUACUUUGACAUCUGACCUCAAAUCAGNA